rnacentral:rRNA from 1 species
ACUCAAAUGAAUUGACGGGGACCCGCACAAGCGGUGGAUGAUGUGGAUUAAUUCGAUGCAACGCGAAAAACCUUACCUACCCUUGACAUGCCACUAACGAAGCAGAGAUGCAUUAGGUGCCCGAAAGGGAAAGUGGACACAGGUGCUGCAUGGCUGUCGUCAGCUCGUGUCGUGAGAUGUUGGGUUAAGUCCCGCAACGAGCGCAACCCUUGCCGAUAGUUGCUACGAAAGGGCACUCUAUCGGGACUGCCGGUGACAAACCGGAGGAAGGUGGGGAUGACGUCAAGUCCUCAUGGCCCUUAUGGGUAGGGCUUCACACGUCAUACAAUGGCUGGUACAGAGGGCUGCCAACCCGCAAGGGGGAGCCAAUCCCAGAAAACCAGUCGUAGUCCGGAUUGCAGUCUGCAACUCGACUGCAUGAAGUCGGAAUCGCUAGUAAUCGCGGAUCAGCAUGUCGCGGUGAAUACGUUCCCGGGUCUUGUACACACCGCCCGU